GAUGAACAUAAAGAAAAUAUAUGAUGACCCUUCUCAGAAUAUUUAUUGACUAGACAGCAAGACUUCCUCGAGAUAGCAUAGCUGGAAUGGAAAAGACAGAAAAACUAGACUUGGAGAGGACAGACAGUAGCCAGAAUGAAUGUCUUAGACUUAAUGAGAUUUCCCUUUUAUUUAAUACCUACUUAUUAUCUAUGAUCAUUAGGCCCAUGUAAAUUAAUCGUGUGAUAUGUUCAUAAAAUGAAGCAACAGUGAAUUAAGAGUGUCCUCCUGAAUAUUUGACAUCAAAGCAAAACAGACCUCCAGGCAGAGCUGGAGAAAUGUAUAGUCGGAGAAUAGCAUUGACGGGACAUACUGUCUUUCCAUGGCAUGCACGAUUGUUUGGGCUAAAGUGAUUAAAAAGGGAAAAACAGAAGAAGAAGAAGAGUUCAGCCCCCUGGCAAACAGCUUCCAAGUUUGAAGGAAACGCAGCUCGAAACAGCAGAUGUCCUAAAAUACUUGCAGACUAGUACUAGGCUAGUAGCUUGUCCUGUAAAUUUGGAAAAACCAAUACCCUUGAGAGAUCAUACAGAGAGGGGAGGAGGAAGUAGAGAAGAUAAAUUACCAACAACAAAGAAG